rnacentral:rRNA from 1 species
CCUACGGGAGGCUGCAGUGGGGAAUAUUGCACAAUGGGGGAAACUCUGAUGCAGCGACGCCGCGUGAGUGAUGAAGUAUUUCGGUAUGUAAAGCUUGAUCAGCAGGGAAGUAAAUGACGGUACCUGAUUAAGAAGCCCCGGCUAACUACGUGCCAGCCGCCGCGGUACUACGUAGGGGGCAAGCGUUAUCCGGAUUUACUGGGGUUAAAGGGAGCGUAGACGGUGAUGCAAGUCAGUAGUGAAAGCCCGGGGCUCAACUCCGGGACUGCUUUUGAAACUGUGUGACUGGAGUGCAGGAGAGGUAAGCGGAAUUCCUGGUGUAGCGGUGAAAUGCGUAGAUAUCAGGAAGAACACCGAUGGCGAAGGCAGCUUACUGGACUGUAACUGACGUUGAGGCUCGAAAGCGUGGGGAGCAAACAGGAUUAGAUACCCCUGUAGUC